GCUCUUAUCGUCUAGUGGUUAGGACAAUACUUUCUCAAAGUAUAAACGGGAGUUCAAUUCUCCUUGAGAGUA
rnacentral:tRNA from 1 species